rnacentral:misc_RNA from 1 species
UAAGCAUACAAAAAUUCACAGAAGAACAUUUGACCUCAAGAACAAGUAAAUUAAUACAAAAUUAACCCAUUUAGUGGCACUUAGACAUGACAACUUCAUACGAGCAAUUAAGAAGGUCUAAGUAGACAUUUAAUUGCUAACAAUUAAUGAACCAUUAUGCUAUUUGACAUCACAUGUGCGAAACUCAGAAUCCUACACUAGCAUAAAGAAAUAAUAUUGGUAGCUAAUAACAAUAUUCUAAAGAUGAUUACCCUACUACAAACGUGAGUAUUAUAAGGGAAUAUUGCAACAUUUAACACCUCCAACAAAAUAAUAUCUUCGAAAGCAAAUCUACUGGA